UUAAGUUUAAUAUUCUCUGCUUUAAUUUUGUGUGUUUGGUUAAAGCAGAGAAUUCACUGCUUUAACCAAACGCACAAAGUUAAAGCAGAGAAUAUUUAACUUUGU
rnacentral:pre_miRNA from 10 species